AACGAACGCUGGCGGCAUGCCUAACACAUGCAAGUCGAACGGGAUCCUGGUUUCGGCCAGGUGAGAGUGGCGGACGGGUGAGUAACGCGUGGGAACCUGCCCAGUGGUGGGGGAUAACUGCGGGAAACUGCAGCUAAUACCGCAUGAGCCCGAAAGGGGAAAGAUUGAUCGCCAUUGGAGGGGCCCGCGUUCGAUUAGGUAGUUGGUGAGGUAACGGCUCACCAAGCCUUCGAUCGAAGCUGGUCUGAGAGGAUGAUCAGCCACACUGGGACUGAGAUACGGCCCAGACUCCUACGGGAGGCAGCAGUGGGGAAUAUUGACAAUGGGCGCAAGCCUGAUCCAGCCAUGCCGCGUGAGUGAUGAAGGCCCUAGGGUUGUAAAGCUCUUUCGCCAGGGACGAUAAUGACGUACCUGAU
rnacentral:rRNA from 1 species